rnacentral:tRNA from 1 species
UCCCUUCUAGCUCAGUCGGUAGAGUCUGCCUGCAAUGCAGGAGACCCAGGUUCGAUCCCUGGGUUGGGAA